rnacentral:rRNA from 1 species
CGAGGGGGGCAAGUGUUGUUCGGAAUCACUGGGCGUAAAGGGAGCGUAGGCGGAUGUUUAAGUUGGAUGUUUUAAAAACCGGGGCCCAACCUCGGAGCGGCAUCCAAAAACUGGACGUCUUGAAUGGAACAGAGGCUAGUGGAAUUGGGGGUGUAGCGGUGGAAUGCGUAGAGAUCCCCAAGAACACCAAUUGCGAAGGCAGCUAGCUGGGUUCACAUUGACGCUGAGGCUCGAAAGCAUGGGGAGCAAACAGGAUU